GAGCUUAGAGUACUUGCAAACAAAAAAUUUAUAAGCAUUCAACAGGGUAUUAGAUUUGAGAGAAAAAGGAGCUCAGCUCAUGUAUAAAUUGCAUAUUUGUUGUAACUCAACCUUGUGGUUCACUAAAAAAUUGAUUUUCUGUCAAAGUUCAAAUCACAGCAUCGCUGUCACGGUCCAAAGAGUUUCAAUAACCCAUGUUGCCCAUGCCAUUGCUGGCUAGGGCAUCCUUCUCAUCCUUGGGAAGUUCAGCUACAAUGGCCUCAGUUGUAGUCAUCAAAGAGGAGACACUUGCAGCAUCUACCAAGGCUGUUCUAAUGACUUUCAAUGGAUCAAUGAUUCCUGACUUCACCAUAUCAACAUAUUCACCUUUGGCUGCAUCAUAUCCAAGGUCAGGAUUGUCCUGCUCCAAAAGCUUGCCAACAACAACUGCCCCCUCUACUCCUGCAUUGGAAGCAAUGGUGUGUACAGGCAUCUUGAGAGCAUUCUGAAUAAUCUGGACACCAAUCUUCUGGUCAAAGUUGGCAGCAACUUGUCCAGCUCUUUAGAAGCAUACAGAAGUGCAACACCACCACCAGGUACAAUGCCUUCCUCCACAGCAGCCUUGGUAGCAUUCAGAGCAUCAUUAACUCUGUCCUUCUUCUCACCAACUUCAGCUUCACUAGCCCCACCGAUCUUCAAAACUGCAACACCACCAGAAAGCUUAGCAAGUCGCUCUUGCAACUUUUCCUUAUCAUAAUCAGAAGUGCUCAAUUCGAUUGCAGAUCUCAACUGUUCACAUCUUUCUUCAAUGGCUUUUUUGUCACCAAACCCAUCAAGAACAAUUGUGUCAUCCUUUGAUACUGUAACCUUUUUGCAUGAACCCAGCACUUCUACUCCAGCCUUCUCAAGGUCCAUACCAAGCUCUUCAGUUAUAACCUCGCCCCCUGUGAGAAUGGCAAGGUCUUGCAUGCUGGCCUUCCUAUUUUCUNNNNNNNNNGUGCUUUUAUGGCACAGACCUUGAUUCCAGCACGAAGCUUGUUCAGAAUGAGAGUUGCUAGUGCUUCACUUUCCACGUCUUCAGCAACAAUCAGCAAAGGCCUUUGCCUCUUCAAGGACAAUUCCAAAACCUUGACUAUAGCAUUUAAAUUUGAGAUCUUCUUCUCAUGAAUUAAAAUGAGAGGAUCUUCUAGUUCACAUUUUUGGUUUUUUGUAUUGGUGAUAAAAUAAGGAGAUAUGUAGCCUCUGUCCAGCUUCAUUCCUUCAACGACCUCUAACUCAUUGUACAAUGUUU
rnacentral:misc_RNA from 1 species